CCAACCCAUGCCCCUUCCUGCUUCACUCCUCCACACCACGGGAGAUUCCUUAGGGCAGAACUUUUAUUUCGGCAGAGUGCAGCCAAGGGAAGACAGCAUAAGCAGCUUUUUUGCCAGGGCGAAGGGGCCAGACCCCGGCCUGGGGAUGGGGUGCAAGUAUGGACCACACAGGGGCUGGCUUGGUCACUCACGGCUGCGUCAGGCUGUCCCGGUAACGGCUGCGCUGGCAGGGCAGUGCUCGGGGCCGGCUGGUGUAGGUGUAGGUGCUCGGGGCCCGAGAGGUGCGAUCAGUCAGCGCUGAGGCCAUGUCCGGGGGCUGACUGCCUCGCUUUCGGUGGAGCUUGGCUUUGAAGCAGGUGGGCGCUAAGGUGUUGUGGGACCCGGAGAGAUGUAAGUAGUGCCAAGGGCAAGGAUUCCGCGACGCGAGGAGAGGCGACAACAAGGGAGGCGGGCGGGACGGGAGGUUACCAGCGCAGGAGGUGGGAGCUAUACUGGGCUCGCUCCCAGCACCACAGAGACCAGCUGCGGGGGCCGCAUCGGUUGCCCAGCAACCCAGGGUUCUGUCUGGGGGCGGGAACUCCGGGCAGUUCCGGUCCCCAGGUUUCCCGGGAAGGACUGCGGCACAAGGGACUUCCGGCUCUUGACUCCGCCCAGCCGCGCCACCCAGGUAGGUGCGCCUGCGCUUUGCGAGGUUCCUGGCUAGGGAGGCGGCCUUGGCUGGCUUGACCGUCAUCCUUGAGGCCUGCGGGGCAACGGUGGCUGUCCUUGGCCCGGCUUUGGAAUGUGGCUUUGCAGGGCUGGUGUUGGCGCCAUUCUCGCAGGCCCACGUGCUCCUGCUCUUCCAGGGUGUCCUCGGCUGUUUCUCCUGCCGCGGCGCAGCAGCGCUCCCAGGCUGCCCCCGCGAUAACACGCCCCUGGCAGCCAGGCUCCCAGCUCUGUUACGUGCCCGGGCGGGGAAGAGCUUCCUGGUGUCUCCCGGCUCCUGCCCUUCUCCCGCCCCAGGGGCGGGCUGCCGCCGCCCUCUGCAGCUGAGUCAGUGCAGUUCCUCACCUACCUUCUCUGCUCACCGCUGUGUGCUAGCAAUCGGAGGACCCUUGGCACACGGAGCGACAGGGGCCUCCCCCACAGACACCUCAUUUUGGGAAAGAAGGUGCUCUAUGCUUAGCCCAUCAUAGAUUGUGGCCCUUCAUUCCUGCAUUUGAUGAAUCCAGGGAACCCUCUCUCCAACACCCUUGGCCUCUCUGCAACUUUCUAACAUCAGGCAGAGUCAGAGGCACCAUCCCC
rnacentral:lncRNA from 1 species